rnacentral:rRNA from 1 species
CUACGGGGCGCAGCAGUGAGGAAUUUUGCGCAAUGGGCGAAAGCCUGACGCAGCAACGCCGCGUGAGUGAUGAAGGCCUUCGGGUCGUAAAGCUCUGUCAAGUGGGAAGAACCUAUGUAAUGUUAAUAUCAUUAUAUACUGACGGUACCACUGAAGGAAGCACCGGCUAGCUCCGUGCCAGCAGCCGCGGUAAUACGGGGGGUGCAAGCGUUAUUCGGAAUCAUUGGGCGUAAAGGGCACGUAGGCGGCCUGGUAAGUCAGAUGUGAAAGCCCGGGGCUUAGCCCCGGAAGUGCAUUUGAUACUGUCAAGCUUGAGUAUGGGAGAGGGAAGUGGAAUUCCUGGUGUAGAGGUGAAAUUCGUAGAUAUCAGGAGGAACACCGGUGGCGAAGGCGACUUCCUGGACCAAUACUGACGCUGAGGUGCGAAGGCGUGGGUAGCAAACAGGAUUAGAUACCCUCGUAGUC